CGGGGAGGUAGUGACGAAAAAUAACGAUACGGGACUCAUCCGAGGCCCCGUAAUCGGAAUGAGUACACUUUAAAUCCUUUAACAAGGACCAAUUGGAGGGCAAGUCUGGUGCCAGCAGCCGCGGUAAUUCCAGCUCCAAUAGCGUAUAUUAAAGUUGUUGCGGUUAAAAAGCUCGUAGUUGAAUCUGUGUGUCACAGUGUCGGUUCACCGCUCGCGGUGUUUAACUGGCAUUAUGUGGUACGUCCUACCGGUGGGCUUAGCUCCGAGCGGGCGGUCCAACUAAUAUCCCAUCGCGGUGCUCUUCACUGAGUGUCGAGGUGGGCCGGUACGUUUACUUUGAACAAAUUAGAGUGCUUAAAGCAGGCUACCUUCGCCUGAAUACUGUGUGCAUGGAAUAAUGGAAUAGGACCUCGGUUCUAUUUUGUUGGUUUUCGGAACCCCGAGGUAAUGAUUAAUAGGGACAGAUGGGGGCAUUCGUAUUGCGACGUUAGAGGUGAAAUUCUUGGAUCGUCGCAAGACGUACAGAAGCGAAAGCAUUUGCCAAAAAUGUUUUCAUUAAUCAAGAACGAAAGUUAGAGGUUCGAAGGCGAUCAGAUACCGCCCUAGUUCUAACCAUAAACGAUGCCAGCUAGCGAUCCGCCGAAGUUCCUCCGAUGACUCGGCGGGCAGCUUCCGGGAAACCAAAGCUUUUGGGUUCCGGGGGAAGUAUGGUUGCAAAGCUGAAACUUAAAGGAAUUGACGGAAGGGCACCACCAGGAGUGGAGCCUGCGGCUUAAUUUGACUC
rnacentral:rRNA from 1 species